GUGCUUAACACAUGCAAGUCGAACGAAGCCUCUGAGUGGAAUUUUUCGGAAGGAAACAACUAUGACUGAGUGGCGGACGGGUGAGUAACGCGUGGGUAACCUGCCUCAUACAGGGGGAUAACAGUUAGAAAUGACUGCUAAUACCGCAUAAGCGCACAAAACCGCAUGGUUUGGUGUGAAAAACUGAGGUGGUAUGAGAUGGACCCGCGUCUGAUUAGCUAGUUGGAGAGGUAACGGCUCACCAAGGCAACGAUCAGUAGCCGACCUGAGAGGGUGACCGGCCACAUUGGGACUGAGACACGGCCCAAACUCCUACGGGAGGCAGCAGUGGGGAAUAUUGCACAAUGGGGGAAACCCUGAUGCAGCAACGCCGCGUGGGUGAAGAAGUAUUUCGGUAUGUAAAGCCCUAUCAGCAGGGAAGAAGAGAGACGGUACCUGACUAAGAAGCCCCGGCUAACUACGUGCCAGCAGCCGCGGUAAUACGUAGGGGGCAAGCGUUAUCCGGAUUUACUGGGUGUAAAGGGAGCGUAGACGGCUUGAUAAUUCUGAAGUGAAAGGCCAAGGCUUAACCAUGGAACUGCUUUGGAAACUAUGAGGCUAGAGUGCUGGAGAGGUAAGCGGAAUUCCUAGUGUAGCGGUGAAAUGCGUAGAUAUUAGGAGGAACACCAGUGGCGAAGGCGGCUUACUGGACAGAAACUGACGUUGAGGCUCGAAAGCGUGGGAGCAAACAGGAUUAGAUACCCUGGUAGUCCACGCGGUAAACGAUGAAUGCUAGGUGUUGGUGGGCAAAGCCCAUCGGUGCCGUCGCAAACGCAAUAAGCAUUCCACCUGGGGAGUACGUUCGCAAGAAUGAAACUCAAAGGAAUUGACGGGGACCCGCACAAGCGGUGGAGCAUGUGGUUUAAUUUGAAGCAACGCGAAGAACCUUACCAAGUCUUGACAUCCUCCUGAAUGAUGGGUAAAGCCAUCAGGCCUUCGGGACAGGAGAGACAGGUGGUGCAUGGUUGUCGUCAGCUCGUGUCGUGAGAUGUUGGGUUAAGUCCCGCAACGAGCGCAACCCUUAUCAUUAGUAGCCAGCAGGUAGAGCUGGGGACUCUAGUGAGACUGCCAGGGAGAACCUGGAGGAAGGUGGGGAUGACGUCAAAUCAUCAUGCCCCUUAUGAUUUGGGCUACACACGUGCUACAAUGGCGUAAACAGAGGGAGGCGAAAGUGAGAGCUGGAGCGAACCCCAAAAAUAACGUCUCAGUUCGGAUUGUAGUCUGCAACUCGACUACAUGAAGCUGGAAUCGCUAGUAA
rnacentral:rRNA from 1 species